UAGAGAGAGAGAGAGAGAGAGAGAGAGAGAGAAAGAGCUAGGCUCCUAUGCUUUCGAAAGUACGGAAGCCUCCGUGCUUUUAAGUUGUUUUCAAUGAUGGGACGUCAGAUUUAGCGAUCUGUUCUGUUAAACAUGAUCUACACUAUUGGAACUAUUUAGAAACCAAAUUUCAUAAUUUUUUGACUUCGUUUGCCUAGUGAACGAGUAUCCUCAAAAAGAACGGCUGAAAAUAAAAAUCUUAUAAAAACAGUGAUAAAUGACUCAAAUUUCAAAUCGGAAGUAUUGUUCUUACUCUUGAUGUUAAGUAGAAUUUUCUAUUGAAGUCUCAUGUGAUUUGGAUACUUCUACACCGUUGAACUUAAAAACGUGCCACAUCAGCCGUUAAAAUAGUCAUUUUUGAGACCCUGUGAUCGCUUGGUAAAUAAUAUCGAAAAAUUAUAAAAUUUGGUUUCUAGAUAGUUCCAAUAGCAUAGAUUAUGCCUAACGGGGCCGAUCGUCAAAUUGGAUGUUCUAUCAUCGAAAACAACUUACAAGUACAGAGGCCUCCGUACUUUUGAAAGCACGGGAGACGUAUUCUAUAUAUAUAUAGAGAGAGAGAGAGAGAGAGAGAGAAUUGAGCUAAAAUACUUUAAAAGCACCACCCCUUGGUGCUUUUAAGUUUCUAGCUCUUAGAUCUAUUCCUUGAUUACUAAUAGUCUUUGGAUCAAACACUAUUCCACCUACCACCAUCAUCUCAACCUCACAUCUCUCCAUCCAAUAGCUAAAAUUCAAAAGCACCACAUUCAUGGUGCUUUUGAGAGUAUUCUAGCUCAACUAUAUAUAUAUAGAAGAAUAUACUUGAAAGAGCAAAAAGUUAAAAUUUUUACCAGACUUAAAACAAGUCAAAAUAUCUCUUUUGUCUUUAAAUCAAAGGCAACUAAAAAAGUUGGUGAUGAUAGAAGAAUAUACUUGAAAGAGCAAAAAGUUAAAAUACUUCUUUUAUCUUUAAUUUAAGAGUAAAUUAGAAAAGUUGGUGACUGUAGAAGGAUAUAUUUAAAAUGACAAAAUAGUAAUUUUACAUUAAUAACAACCGUAGCUAACAAAUUUAGAACGUUAUUAUUAUUAUUAUUUUUUACAUUAGUCUUCUAAGCAGGAUAAAUAAAAAAGUCUGAAACUUUUAAGAAAUAUACAAGUCAUUGCUCUUUAAUUUUAAUACUAAAAUUUUAUUAAAAUUUUAAAACAUGAGAAUUCUCACUUUUCUUCUUACAAUAUUUUUAAAGCAGUAGCUUUUAGAAAACUCAUUCUAGAUUAAAUCUUAAAUUGUGAUUUUAGUUUUUUUUGUUAUAGUAAAAAUUUUAGCAUUUUUAUUUGGCGGACGCUCGGCAUGGGAUGAUUGUCAUAAAAAAAAUAAAAAUAAAAACGUAUAGAACUUAUCUGAACUAUAAAUUUUUAUGAAAUAGCUGUUGAACCUUUCAAAUUUUGAUUUUAUUAUCUAAUCUUUCAAUUUAUUUUAUCUGAGUUAGUUAACGGUUUGUUGACUUUAAAAUUUAAGCUAAUUAUUUAUUGUAAUAAUUUACAGUUACGAGACUUAUAUAAAAUAUACUAACUAAUCUUGUAGAGAAAAAGACAGACUCAAAUUUCAAAAUCAAGUGUCACUGACUAACUCAAAUUAAAUAAAUUGAAAGAUUAAGCAGUAAAAUCAAAGUUUAAAACGGUAAGAAAAUAUUUUCAAAAUGGUCCAUUGUCCAUGCAAUGUGUCGUACAUUCUUAUCCAAGUAAAAAUAAAGUGCAAUGCGGCUGAUAUAUUCCAUACAUUAAGUGUAAAACUUGUAUCCAUAGUACAAAUUAAUCAGCUCGUUUUAUCAUUUUUUUAAAAUUUUUUAAAAAAUUAUAAUAGGAAAAACUUCAAAUACCACCCUAUAGUUUCACACUUUCUCACUUUAGUAUCCUAUGGUUUAAAGUGUAUCAAUUUAGUGUCCCGUUGUUUUAUUUUUAUCUUUUUAUUAUCGAUUCUACUAAUUUUUUUUCGUUAAAUCAGUGAUAAAAUUAAAACCAAAGAGUACUAAAGUGAAUAUUCGAUAAACCUAGAUAGGAUAUAUGAAGUUUUUUUUGUAUAUAAUUUAACGAAAUAUUAACGAAAAAGCUGACGAAAAGAUAAAAAUAAAACCACCGGACAUUAACUUGAUACAUUUUAAACCACAGGUCAGAUACUACAGUAAAAAAAUACGAAAUCACAUGAAUGAUAUUUGAAGUUUACGCAUUAUAAGUAAUAAUUUUCAAAAAUAGAAGGAGGGAGGAAAAUUAAUUCGACUA
rnacentral:lncRNA from 1 species